CUAGAUAUUUGGAAAAUCUGAUACACUGGAUUUCUUUUAAAUCUGAUAGGUAUUACUUUUUUCAUUUUUUAGUUUCUUGUUUUCUAAGUGAGGACAAGAGGAAGUGAUGGAAGCAUCGUACAAAGGUUGAGCGGAAGAUACGUUAGGGAUGUUACAGAGAGCUUUGACAGAGACGACGAAGAUGAUGGAGACGAUCCUUUGCGCACUUGGGUUAGUAGAGCUCCUACUGGUUCUCAUCCUUAGAGGAUAAAAGAAACCCGGGGACCAGAUACUCUUCAUUGUAGAUGAGGUUGAGUUGGUCGCUCCAUAGGUGACUUUGAAGAGGUAGAAGUUGUUGUUGUUGAGUUGGUCGCUAUAGAGAUUGAUAUAGAUGUGCCUGAUCAACCUGAUAUAUAGGUGCCUUCUUUGGUUGAUAUAUCUAACAAUUAUGAUGGUCCCAUAAAUGAGGGGUUCCUUGAAGGGCCUUCCAACCCUACAUUGUAUGAUCAAGUAUACUGAUCAUAGUGCAUUCAGAUUAUGGCAGAUAGUGGAACAAGCCUCAUUGAAGGUCCUCAAUCAUGUUCAAAAGUUGAAGAAAUUCUCGGCAGUGCAUGUGCUAGAGAAGGUUAGGACAUUUUUAAAUGGUGUUGGCAUGCUGUUGCUAGUGGAUUGUUCCCUCAUUAUGCUUGGCGCUAUGUUGUUUACUACUUUUAUUGAGCGAUGGCAUGACAAGACAUAUUCAUUUCAUCUUCCAUUUGGUGAGAUGACCAUUACCAUGGACGAUGUCUCCAACCUAUUUCCUCUCCCUCUUGCAGGAAACAGUUUCACCUCUCUGCUGAUGAACUUCGAGAUAACUAUUAUGACUGUUGUGAGCUACUUGAGGGUUACAUGAGGUAUGUGAUGAUGGACAUGGAUGGUAGAGGAGUUCGUGUACUGCACAUGAAAGGAGGGUGAAGAGAAAAAUGCAAAAAUAGUUGAUCUCAUUUUCCUUUUUUUUUUCCUUUUCAAUUUUUCUUUGU